rnacentral:rRNA from 1 species
AUUGAACGCUGGCGGCAGGCUUAACACAUGCAAGUCGAACGAGUGGCGGACGGGUGAGUAAUGCUUGUGACUCUAGCUUCUGGAGGGGGAUAACUCCGGGAAACUGUAGCUAUUACCGCUUACCAUAGGAUGACCCCAAGUGGGAUUAGGUAGUUGGUGCGGUAAAGGCUCACCAAGCCGACGAGCUCUAGCUGGUCUGAGAGGAUGACAAGCCACACGGGGACUGAGACACGGCCCAGACGCCUACGGGAGGCAGCAGUGGGGAAUAUUGCGCAAUGGGGGCAACCUGACGCAGCCAUGCCGCGUGAAUGAAGAAGGCCGUCGGGUUGUAAAGUUCUUUCGGUAGCGAGGCGUUAACUACAGAAGAAGCACCGGCUAACUCCGUGCCAGCAGCCGCGGUAAUAC